AGUCGUAACAAGGUCUCCGUUGGUGAACCAGCGGAGGGAUCAUUACAGAAGGUCUAGCGCCUGAAAAACCACUGUGAACCGUUCCAUUUGCUGCCUCGGCGGGCGAUCCCAGGGCGGGAUCGCGGCUCCCUGCGGGGGGCGCCCGCCGGCGCGCGACCCUUCCAGCUCUAUCGUCCAGCGGGCUUCUGAGUGACGAAAAAAACAAUCAAAACUUUCAACAACGGAUCUCUUGGCUCUGGCAUCGAUGAAGAACGCAGCGAAAUGCGAUAAGUAAUGUGAAUUGCAGAAUUCAGUGAAUCAUCGAAUCUUUGAACGCACAUUGCACCCGCCAGCACUCUGGCGGGUAUGCCUGUUCGAGCAUCAUUUCGACCCUCAAGCUCCGGCCUGCCGUUGGGGCGCCUCGGUCCAGCACCGAGCGCCCCGAAUCGCAGUGGCGGAGCCGCCGUGGACUCUGAGCGCAGUACCUAACGACGCUCCUGGGCCCCGGCGGCGCCUGCCGUUAAACACCCAAACGCAAGUCUUGACCUCGGAUCAGGUAGGGAUACCCGCUGAACUUAAGCAUAUCAAUAAGCGGAGGAAAAGAAACCAACAGGGAUUGCCCCAGUAACGGCGAGUGAAGCGGCAACAGCUCAGAUUUGAAAUCCGGUCCUUGGACCCGAGUUGUAAUCUGUAGGGGUAGCUUCGGGCGCGGCGUCUUCUGAGUCCCCUGGAACGGGGCGCCACAGAGGGUGAGAGCCCCGUACGGUCGACCGCCAAGCCCGUGUGAAGCUCCUUCGACGAGUCGAGUAGUUUGGGAAUGCUGCUCAAAAUGGGAGGUAAAUUUCUUCUAAAGCUAAAUACCGGCCAGAGACCGAUAGCGCACAGGUAGAGUGAUCGAAAGAUGAAAAGCACUUUGAAAAGAGGGUUAAAAAGCACGUGAAAUUGUUGAAAGGGAAGCGCCCGUGACCAGACUUGCGCCCGGCGGCUCCGCGUUCCUUCGGGCUCGCGUACUCCGCCGGGCUCAGGCCAGCAUCGGUUUUCGCGGGGGGACAAAAGCGGCGGGAACGCGGCUCCCUUCGGGGAGUGUUAUAGCCCGUCGCAGAAUGCCCUCGCGGGGACCGAGGUUCGCGCUCUGCAAGGAUGCUGGCGUAAUGGUCACCGGCGACC
rnacentral:rRNA from 1 species